rnacentral:rRNA from 1 species
GACGAACCGUGCGAACGUUGUUCGGAUUCACUGGGCUUAAAGGGCGCGUAGGCGGGCGACCAAGUCAGGGGUGAAAUCUUUCGGCCCAACCGGAAAAGUGCCCCUGAUACUGGCCGCCUCGAGGGGGGUAGAGGCAUGCGGAACUUCCGGUGGAGCGGUGAAAUGCGUAGAUAUCGGAAGGAACGCCGGUGGCGAAAGCGGCGUGCUGGACCCCUUCUGACGCUGAGGCGCGAAAGCCAGGGGAGCAAACAGG